UAGGGAAUAUUGGGCAAUGGCCGAGAGGCUGACCCAGCCAUGCCGCGUGCAGGAAGAAGGCCUUCUGGGUUGUAAACUGCUUUUAUCUAGGAAGAAAACGCCCCUGCGGGGGUAACUGACGGUACUAGAUGAAUAAGCACCGGCUAACUCCGUGCCAGCAGCCGCGGUAAUACGGAGGGUGCAAGCGUUGUCCGGAUUUAUUGGGUUUAAAGGGUGCGUAGGCGGCCAGUUAAGUCAGCGGUGAAAUCCCAGGGCUCAACCCUGGAACUGACGUUGAUACUGGCGGGCUUGAGGUCGGUCGAGGCGGGCGGAACUGGUGGUGUAGCGGGGAAAUGCUUAGAUACCACCAAGAACCCCGAUUGCGUAGGCAGCUCGCUGGGCCGAAACUGACGCUGAGGCACGAAAGCGUGGGGAGCGAACAGG
rnacentral:rRNA from 1 species